UUGGUUGUUUACCCAUAUUCAGGGGCAUC
rnacentral:piRNA from 1 species